UGCCACGAGUUCCUAAAAAAUAGGUAAGACGCCUCAACAAUUAUUAAUGACCUUCACGUUAAAAUUUGUAAUACUAUAUUAUCACGAUGAUGAUAAUAGAGCAGAAUAUAGUAUCUACACGAGUCGGGUGUCAGUUAUUAGUGCGACAUUGAAACAUAGUAGGUAUUAACCAGUUUCUCCUGUUACCUAUACAAUCGCAUAUUACAGUUGGCAGAACACAAAAUAUCAAGAUAUUUUACAGAUUCAAUAAAAUGUCAUUAGAACCUUUUUAUCGUUAUUAUAAUUAGUUUUGUUAGAUAUGAUCACGUACUCAAAAAUAAAAGUGUAUCCAAUACAAAUAGGUAAACAACAUAUAAAAUAUUUGUUUAUUAUAAUAUUUAAUGGUAUUUAUUUUAAUUUUUUUUUGUGCAUCAUGCAAGUGGACAUGUCAGGGGUCACCAAUUAAUACUAUUGAAGGGCCACAUAGGAAUCUGAAAACUUUUUGGGGGCCUUCAAAAUUCUAAGUACCUAUACAUAUAUUUACUUUAUUUAAAAACCAAUAAUAUUUAACAAAAAUAAUAAUUUACAAUAAUAACACAUAUUAUAAUGUUGUCGUAAUAUGUGUUAUUUAUUCUUUGUCUGCGGGCCGGAUAAAAUGUGUUCACGGUUCGCCAUUUGGUGACACAUGCUCUGUUAUGUUAUAAAUAUUUUGUGCUUGUGAAUAGUGAAUAUCCAUCGGAAGAAUUAAACGAAGUAAAUGACAUGACAUGUUUUAUUGAAUUAAAGCUGAGAAGAUUGCGCUAGAAUUUAUUCGAGACAUAUUGAUUUUAAUGUCAUUAUUAUUUACUUACUCCAGUACAAAAAACAUCAUAUCGAAAAAUAAUCACAUACAUACCCACCACAGUUUUCCGUACAAUGUAAAA